rnacentral:rRNA from 1 species
UACGUAGGGUGCGAGCGUUAAUCGGAAUUACUGGGCGUAAAGCGUGCGCAGGCUGUUUUGUAAGUCAGAUGUGAAAUCCCCGAGCUCAACUUGGGAACUGCGUUUGAAACUACAAGACUAGAAUAUGUCAGAGGGGGGUAGAAUUCCACGUGUAGCAGUGAAGUGCGUAGAGAUGUGGGGGAAUACCAAUGGCGAAGGCAGCCCCCUGGGAUAAUAUUGACGCUCAUGCACGAAAGCGUGGGGAGCAAACAGG